UGCUACAACACCGUUUUACCACAGAAUAUAUUGAGGGCAUUUAGUGAGAAAGGGGAUCUGGAACCAAUUAGACUCACUGAGGCACAUUUAUAGGAGAUUAAUUAGCAAAUCUUCCUUUGCCAUUGCAGAGUUAGCUAUUACGGCUGAGGCGGUAUUACUGAUAAAUAAGAGCAGGAGCUCAGAAAUCAUACAGUUCUGGAUUUGAGUCAUAGCCUGACCAUUUCCUAGCUGUAAAACCAUGGGCAAGUUACUUUUUAAUCUUUUAUAAAAGAGGAAUAUUAUAGAUUAAAUGAGAUAGUGCACAUAAAGCACAAUGUCUGGCCCAUAGUAACACUGAAUACAGUGAGCCUUUUUCCUUUUUUAAGCUUAUACUGAAGCAGUGGUUACAUAUGUCCUGUUGAUCCUCAUUAGCCUCAUAAGGCUGUGGAAAUGGAAAUUCGUAUUUGUCAAAAGUUUGUUCAUACCUGUAAUCGUAGCACUUUGGGAGGCUGAGGCAGGAGGAUUGCUUGAGCCCAGGAUUUCAAGACCAGCCUGGGCAACACUGAGACCCCAUCUCUAUUUUAAAAAAAAAUUUUUUAAAUUUAAAAAAAUUAAAUUUCUCUAAAAAUAAAACUUAAAAAGUUUUGGUCACUGAGAGGAUCCAUAUUUUGGACCUUUGAAAUAAUCAUGAUAGGACUUAACUUUAAAGCAUCUGCUGAUCAUGGGGGAAAAACUGAAGUUUUUGUUACACUGGAGUUACCUGAAAAUAAGCGUUUAUGAAUAUGUUCUUAAUACUCCUUUUCUAGUGUUUACCUUAAAAAUAAAUUUAUGAUUUUUUUCCCUCAAAAAUUCUAACAGUUGACCUUGACUUUCCAGAAUUGGAACACAUUUUUCCUAAUUUGCAUCAUCAGCUGUUUAAACCCUUAGAACCACAUCCAGAUUUUGACUUAUCAUCAUCAUCCUCUGGGAUUUCUCCAGACAACAGAGACUUUUACCAGAGAUCAGAUUCUUCAUCUGAAAGCCACUGUGCUACUGGAUUAUCCAAAAGUACAGUUUAUUUCACAGCACUGAGGAGGACCAGCAUGCAUUCUUCUCUUAACACAAGUCCGAAUCAACAACCUGACACUAACUUGGCUCAUGUUGGAGCUCACAGUUUUGCUACAGAAAAUAUUAUUGGGGGAUCUGAACAAUGUUUUGAACAGCUUCAGCCAGAAUAUUCUUCACAGGAGGAGAGCCAGCAUGCUGAUCUACCAAGUAUUUUUAGCAUUGAAGCAAGAGAUUCUUCCCAAGGCAUGAAAAAUCAGAACUAUCCCUCUGAA
rnacentral:lncRNA from 10 species